rnacentral:rRNA from 1 species
UACGGAGGGAGCGAACGUUGUUCGGAUUUACUGGGCGUAAAGGGUGUGUAGGCGGUCUUGCAAGUCAGGGGUGAAAUCUCUCGGCUCAACCGAGAAACUGCAUUUGAUACUGCGGUGCUUGAGGACUGGAGAGGAGACUGGAAUUCACGGUGUAGCAGUGAAAUGCGUAGAUAUCGUGAGGAAGACCAGUGGCGAAGGCGGGUCUCUGGACAGUUCCUGACACUGAGGCACGAAGGCCAGGG